ACUGAAAACAUUUAACUUUAUAAACAUCAUCAUGCAUAUUUCAAUUUUGAAAUGUAAUUUUUUGAUUGAAGAGAAAGUUGAAGAGUUGAAGGUUCCUGGAUGACUCAGUAAACUAACAAACAUAAAUUUACUUUUAUUCUAGUCUACAAAUCUAAUAUGUCAAUAACUGCCAAUAAAAAGUGAUUUAUUUAAAAUAAUUGUUUUUUUUUUUUUUUUGCCCUUAAUGGCCAAAAGUCCAUACAAAAGAAAUAAUCCGAUGUUAUCCAAAGGACUAUUUACAAUUAUAACUUGCAGGAUAACUCUAUAAUGUUCUGCUGGAAAAUGUCUCUAGACUUAAGUGUGGUGUUAGUGUAAUGACAAGACAAUAGUAUGCAGAUAUAGCUGUAUAGUCCCUUUCCACUAAAGAAAAACACAUAACAGGAAUCUUAGUACGGCUUUAUGGUCCUUGGCUAUUGUCUCUUUUUCUUUCUCCAAUAUAUAUAUGCAAAAUGGCAAUAAAUAAAAAACGUACAGGAUUCCUGGAAUCAAAAAGAAUCCAGAAAAACUGACCUCUUCUACUUAAAUGGACACUACGGGCACACAGACUACUUCAUCUCAUUGAAGUGGUUUGGGUGCAGUGUCCUUGUUCCCUUAACCCUGCAAUAUAACAUAUUGCAGUUUUAAAGAAACUGCAAUGUUUACAUUGCAGUGUUAAGACUGCCUCUAGUAGCCAUCUACCAGACGAGGCAAUACCUGCUAUUUCAUGAAGUUUGACUAUGUUAAAAGAUACUGGAUGUUCUCACGCCUUGCAUGAGAACGUCCAGCGUCUUCUAAAUCCCCAUAGAAAGUCACUGUAGCAAUGCUUUCCUAUGGGGAUGGCCUAACGCGUGUGCGUCAUGCGCAUUAGGUUCUCCCCAUUGGCUGACGUUGGUGGAGGAUGAGCUUGACCCAUAGCCAAUGGACUUCGGAGCUGUAAUCAGGUAAGUUAAAUUGUUUUCUUUAACCCUUUACAUGGCAGGGGGAAUGCAAGUGAGGGUCUGAUAGUGUUAAGAAUAAAGCUUUGUUUCUUAACACCGUAGUUUUCCUUUAGUGUGCAGUGAUUGGGAUGACCAAAAACAGUUGACAAAAUUAAAUGUCACCACAUAGUAAUUAGAUGAUGUUCUGUGAUUAUCCCCUCUUUUUACUGUGUGAGGUUUAAGGUAAUAAGAUUAUGUAAAGGUUCAGCAAAUAACCCCUAUGCUUUGACUCACUCCCUGUCCUUUUCGAUGAAAGGUAAUGUAUGUAAAAUGGGCUUGGGGGGUGGUCCCCAAAGUCUACUGGUUACAUAUUUAAGGACCAUGUAUUAUACCGUAUAAGGUGGUACCUUAGUCCCAUGGCCCAAUUAUUGUGCUCAUUACAUGGUAGAUGAUUGGGGAUGCACAUUCCUUUUUCCUAAGUGCCUCCUAUUAUAAUCACUUUUGCCAAAAGUCCCUGGGCCAUCUUUACUAUAUCCCUACUUACCAGAGGAGGUCAGCAUGAUGACCAAUUCUUUAUAAAUAAUAAGUCAGGGGAUCCCAAAGCCCACAUUUAAGUGCCAAACUCCCCUUAAGUAUUAUUAUGCCAAGGAGGAUUUUAGGCCUCCUUGCAUAAAAGGGCUCCACUAGUACAGAAACUGAAUGUCCCUAUAUACGUGUUAGUAUAACGGAGGGUGUUUUAAAUAAAGUUGUCUUAUAGAAAAAAAACAUUUUUCACUUGUCAUUUUUGUUGUAGUCAAACAAUGCCUAUGUAAUUGUCAUCUUAUGUCCAUGUAAAAAACCCCUUAGUGCAAAGUAAAAAAAUAAACAACCAUAUAAAAAACACCAUCUUUAUCAUUCAAUGACUGUAUCAAUAAGGACACCUUUGUUUUAACAUUCAAUCCCAACUCCCUGAAAAAUAUUUUACCUGUUUUCCUUAAACACCACUUGAGACUGAUUGACAGCUUCUUGACAGUAGGUAUUAAGGAGCAAUAAGUGACAGCAAAAUGGAAUCAAGAUAGACAGUUUAAGCCAAUAUAUUUUCAGUUGGAUUGCCAACCCCCAUGCUAUGCUAUUUAUGGACAAACUAAUAUGGACCUAUUCAAGCAGCAGCCUUGAAGUGAUCUCAUCUAUCUUUUUCGGCAAACUUGCUGUUAAAAUUCACAAGACUAGACUGCAUAGAACCUACAUUCAAAAAUAUAUGCAUAGGACACAUAUACAUUUGCUGCAGUUUUUAAUCCAAGUACUAUUGCCAUAAUAUUGAUAACAGUAUUGACCACAGUUUUGUUUUUUUAACAAGAAAAAAAGUUUUGUUUUUUUUCCAAUACACUCUUGGUCAAACAUUUGCCAGAUACAACAUACAGAAUGUAAGUAAUCUGUAACAGGACCGAUCCGAACUUGCACUAAGUCAGAACAAUCAUGCUUCUUUUUUAAAGAGGCAUUCUAGCACCAUAACCACUAAUGUGUGCUAUAGUUGUUAUGGUUUCCCUGACACCACGUCACACUAAGGAGUACACAAGAGUUAACAAUUAUAUAAUACAAAAAAUUGCAGGGUAGCUGUGACAUAGUUACAUAGUUACACAGGCUGAAAAGAGACACGUGUCUAUCAAGUUCAACCCUUCUCACAUCUGUUUUUGCUGUUGAUCCAAAAGAAGGCAAAAAUCCAGUUUUAAGCACGUCCAUCUUUGCAACAAACUGGGAAAAAAAAACCUUCCUGACCCCAGAAUGGCAGUCAGAUCUAUCCUUUGAUCAAGAAGCUAUUAACCCACAAAUUAAAAAUUAUAUCCCUAUGGCAGAAUUUAAUAUUUUCUAUAUUCUUAUAUUUUACUUUUAAAGUUUUAUUCCAUAUUCAAUAUUUUGUUUUUAUGUUAAUCUGGUUAACCUACCUUACUACCACCAAUAUUGUUUUCUAUUGCAUUGCAAUAUGUUUAAUACAUCCUGCUGAUAAUCAACUCUUAAUUCUUCAACCUCACUUCUGGUCCUAACCUGACUGACUAAUUCAUUUCUCAGAUGCAUCUCAAUUGAGUUCCUUUGCCUACUGUAGGGGGACUCUCAGUUGGAUUGCUAAAGAGUUGAAGUUCUGGAUUUGGCCCAGGAAAACCCCAGGUCACUUCAAGUAAAUGCUGUUUUUUUUUUGUGUGUGGACGGGCAUGGCUUUAGUUUUACUGGGCAGUGACACAAUAGAAUUACCCCCAAUUUCAUGAAUCUGCCCUGAUUAACAGUCAGUCACACAACGGGCAGCUUCACAUUCUUGCCUAGUCCUCCAUAAUGACUGACAGGAAAGAGGUGCUUUAUGAGAUGUGCUGAAGGGCAGAUAAAGAGAUGAUGGAGGUUAGCUAAAGUAUGGACUAUAUCCAGGCUACUAUCUCUCUCAUUGCAUCCUCAUCCACAACUUCAUAGCAUUGCACAGAUCACUGUAUUUGCAUGCAAAAGUCUAGAUGUCAUCAUGUCGUAUUGUUCUGUGGUUGAAUAACUGCACAAUGUACCAAUGAGUUGUGUUCAAGGCUGCCAUGUAUGGUACAGCUACUUGUGACUACAUCCAGAAUUGGACCGUGGGGACUGGGCACACCAGUGGGGAAAUUAGAUAGCUGAAUGGAAGCCAGUAGUAGGGAGAAUCUAUCAUCAUAUGUUGGCCUUAACAUUGUACACAUAGAGCUACUGCAGACUCACACUGACAGUGCACACACAGAAACAACACACUCACAAAAACACUUACAUGUCCUCACACUGACAAUUUGCACACAAAAAGAGACACAUAGGUACCAAUGGUGUACACCAAAACAAAUUAUGUGCAUUCACAAUGACAAGGGAUGAAGAAAAACUGAAUGGAUCAACUUGUGUGUACUCAUGAACAGGUCCCAGAAGGGGAGAGGAAGUAGGAAAGCUUUUGGGCAAAUUUAAAGUAUAGCUUUAGCUCAAAUAUCUGCUCCAUUAUGUGUGAGUAUAUAUGGUUGGUGGUCACUCACUAACAUGACACCAUUUAAAAGAUAUAUAUACUCAACCAGAAUUCACUCGAUUACACAUACUUUUUUUAAUCUUUUUGAAUUACCUUAAAGGGACACUCCAGGCACCCAGACCACUCCAAUGGGCAGAUGUGGUCUGGGUGCCUGGAGUGUCCCUUUAAGGUAAUUCAAAAAGAUUAAAAAAAGUAUGUGUAAUCGAGUGAAUUCUGGUUGAGUAUAUAUAUCUUUUAAAUGGUGUCAUGUUAGUGAGUGACCACCAACCAUAUAUACUCACACAUAAUGGAGCAGAUAUUUGAGCUAAAGCUAUACUUUAAAUUUGCCCAAAAGCUUUCCUACUUCCUCUCCCCUUCUGGGACCUGUUCAUGAGUACACACAAGUUGAUCCAUUCAGUUUUUCUUCAUCCCUUGUCAACUCCCAUCACCCUUAAUCCUGCAAGUGUAAUUAUUGCAGUUUUUAUAUACUGCAAUAAUUACCUUGCAGGGUUAAGUCCUCCUCUAGUGGCUGUCUAUCAGACAGCCACUAGAGGGACUCUAGUGUUCUUAAAACACAAAAAGUGUUUUAAACUACGCUGGACGUCCUCACACUAUGCAUGAGGAUCGCCAGUGUUGCCGAAAUUCCCACAGGAAAGCAUUGAAUAAUGCUUUACUAUGGGGGGGGGUCUAAUGCGUGCGUGUGGCCUUUGCCGCACGCUUGGCCAUUGACGCGCAUGCGCAUUAGGUCUUCCGAGCUAACUGACGUUGGCGGGGGAAGAGCAUGGGUGGGGCCUGACCCAGCGCCGAGGGACCACGGCACUGGAUUAAGGUAAGUCACUGAAGGGGUUUUAACCCCUUCAGCAACAUGCUGUGGGGUGUGAAAGGGAGGGAGGGACCACAAAACAGAUUUGUUUUCCUGACACUGGAGAGUCCCUUUAAAGUAACAAGCACCUGAGUUCACUUUAAAUUCUCAAAAAAAUACACCUCUCACAAACCCUAAAAUCGUCUGAACCAAUUUAAAAUGUAUUAACACUGUAUAAGGACAGCUUUACAUGUACUUUAUGAUAAUACAAAUAAUUAAUAUGUUUAUAUUACUGUUUUGUGUACUUACUGUUUCUUGCUUGGCAACAUUAUGUACAUAUGCAAUAGAGACAAUAUAAUUUUAUCAAUAAAUUAUCAGCUUAUCAAAAACUCAAUUACUUGUCAAGUUAACCUAUCUGAUAAUAAAAAUUGAAAAUACUAUUUAAAACUAUACUAAAACACGAGUAUGAUUUAUGAGGGUUGAUUAAUGUCCCAUAGUUUUAACCUAAAAUAUCUACAUUGUAUUGAUGGAAUUUGUGAUUGCACAGUCUAAAUUAUAAACAAAAAAUGCACAUACGGUAUAAUACUUAUAUUUUUAUGAGUUAGAAUUUUCAACUUGUAGAUCAUUGUCAUGGAUUGGAUUUUUAUGUUUCCCAAUUUCUCUAUGGUAUGCUGCUUUCUUAUGCGUGUUUAAAUUCAUUAUUUUCACACCAAUUCUCUGUAAACAUGAACAUAUUCUAUGUGAAAAUAUUUUAGCAAAAAUUAUGUUUUAUAAGUAGAC